rfam:Listeria monocytogenes EGD-e, complete genome
CGUGUGGAAUUAUAAAUAUAGCAGAGCAACGGGGCUCCCUCAAAAAUAUUGCACAAUAUUUUUAAGGGGCUCUUUCUAUUUUCUUGGAGAAAUUUUUCUC